rnacentral:rRNA from 1 species
GUAGGGUGCGAGCGUUAUCCGGGAAUCAUUGGGGCGUAAAGAGCUCGUAGGCGGUUCAGCAAGUCGGCUGUGAAAUUCCGAGGGCUCAACCUCGGAACUGCAGUCGAUACUGCUGUGACUCGAGUUCGGUAGAGGAGAAUGGAAUUCCCGGUGUAGCGGUGAAAUGCGCAGAUAUCGGGAGGAACACCAGUAGCGAAGGCGGUUCUCUGGGCCGGCACUGACGCUGAGGAGCGAAAGCGUGGGUAGCAAACAGGAUUAGAUACCCUGGUAGUCCACGCCGUAAACGUUGGAUACUAGGUGUGGCGUUCCGACCAACGGUCGCCGUGCCGAAGCUAACGCAUUAAGUAUCCCGCCUGGGGAGUACGGCCGCAAGGCUA